rnacentral:pre_miRNA from 1 species
GUAGUAUUCCCUUCGUCCCAAAAUUCUUGUCUUACAUUUGUUUAGAUACGGAUGUAUCUAACACUAAAAUGUAACUAGAUACAUCCGUAUUUAGAAAAAUUUAAGACAAGAAUUUUGGACGGAGGGAGUACAAA